rnacentral:rRNA from 1 species
UACGUAGGGGGCAAGCGUUGUCCGGAAUUAUUGGGCGUAAAGCGCGCGCAGGCGGUCUUUUAAGUCUGGUGUCUAAGUGCGGGGCUCAACCCCGUGUCGCACUGGAAACUGGGAGACUUGAGUGCAGAAGAGGAGAGCGGAAUUCCACGUGUAGCGGUGAAAUGCGCAGAUAUCAGGAGGAACACCGGUGGCGAAGGCGGAUCUCUGGGCCUGUCCUGACGCUCAGGCGCGAAAGCUAGGGGAGCAAACAGG